GCCACUGCGGCGGCCUGGGCCUUGCGCUGACAGCCCGGCCCCUCGCGCGCCGCCAGGGCCGCGCCUCCCCCUCUCCCGGGCCCCGCCCCCGCCCGUCUCCCCGGCGACGUUGUCAACACGCGCUCCACAACAGCGGCGUGACGCUCAGGGAUCCCCCGGGCGCCCCGGGCUCCCGCCUGCGCGAGCAUCCCGGGGACCUGGAGCGGGGGCGGUGUCGGGGCCUCUCAGAGACUCUCAGGGGAGCACCGGGCUUGGCGGUCUCCCCGGAUCCCUUGACGGAAGGGGAGAUUGGCUCCAGCCUCAGAGAGGGCUGCAGAACCCUGGAUGGAUGGGAAGUCUGGAGUCUCCAGGAUUCAUGGAUGGGUGAGGCUGGGCCCCUCAUCUGUUGUGGGACCACCCAGAGGGACCCACCGUGUGCACAUCACCCUGUAAAAAAAAACACCUUGUGUAGACCUGGUGCAGUGGGUCACAUCUGUAAUCCCACCGCUUUGGGAGGCUGAGACAGGAGGAUCACUCGAGGCCAGGAGUUCAAGACCAGCCUGGGCAACACAGUGGCCCCCAUCUCUUAAAAAAUAAAAAAAAUUAGCUGGGUGUAGUGGGAGGCUGAGGUGGGAGGAUCGCUUGAGCCCAGGAGGUCGAGGCUGCAGUGAGAUACAAUCACACCACUACACUCCAGCCUGGGUGACAGAGGAGACUGUCUCAAAAAAACAAACAAAACAAAACUUUUGUGUGGUAACAUCAAGACACAUUAAAUCUUUGACAUUUGAGACACCCACC
rnacentral:lncRNA from 1 species